GUUUUAUAUCUUUAUGUUUGAAGCCUGAAAUGUGGCAAAAGGUCGCAAAGUUCAAGGGGGCCGAAUACUUUCGCAAGGCACUGUAUAUACUGUACUCUAUAUCAUCUACUGCAUCUUUAUGUAAUACAUGUAUCACUAGCCACUUUAACUAUGCCACUUUGUUUACAUACUCAUCUCAUAUGUAUAUACUGCACUCAAUACCAUCUACUGUAUCUUGCCUAUGCCGCUCUGUACCAUCACUCACUCAUAUAUAUUUAUGUACAUAUUCUUUAUCCCCUUACACUUGUGUCUAUAAGGUAGUAGUUUUGGAAUUGUUAGCUAGAUUACUUGUUGGUUAUUACUGCAUUGUCGGAACUAGAAGCACAAGCAUUUCGCUACACUCGCAUUAACAUCUGCUAACCAUGUGUAUGUGACAAAUAAAAUUAGAUUUGAUUUGAUUUGGUAGUGUCCAUACAAACCUUGAUGUGCUUAAAAUAUUCCUCAUUGCAGGCUAAUGAGACCUGGGUGAGCAACUGCCAGGAGUGUGUGUGUGACCCAUACAGUCUGGAAAUCCAGUGCCAGCCGGUGGCAUGCCAACAUCAGCCUCCUCUCACCUGUGAUCAGGAGGGCCAAGUUAAGGUCGUAGAAACCGUUGACUGUUGUCAAAAGGACAAAUGCGGUGAGUGACUUCUUUGGAUAAUAUGCUCUUUAUGGGGGCUUUGGAACAACUCUGUAAAAACAUUUAUAUUUUUGGUGACUACCUAACAUACCCAACCAAUGUGGCCACUUGCAUAUUUUUUAAAACAAUAGUUGUUUCUUUCCAAACAGAGUGUGAUGUCACACGAUGCGAAUCCAGUCGGAUUCGAGACAGAGGCAACUAUGGGAGUCUGCUGCCCAACGUAUCAAUGCACCUGGUGCCAAUGUUCCUGGGGACAAGUGUAAGAAUUGUGUGUGUGGUGACAGUGUGGAUGCCCAAAGCCAUCUACAUAUCAUUGAGUGUCAAACUACUGAAUGUGACACUCACUGCCAGCAGGUAUGUGAUCUCUAUUGACACAUCUACACACUUUAGCCUCAUAUGUAAUUUAACCAACUUAGUCUAAUAUUUGAUGAGUUCUUA
rnacentral:lncRNA from 1 species